rnacentral:misc_RNA from 1 species
GACACAUCUCGCCCCCCGCCGCUUCUUUUGGGGCGGUACGGAGGGCGGACUCUGCGUGUUCCGGAGCGCGAGCUCCGAGUGCACCGAACCUCGUGAACGCGAGACCUCUACUGCUGAUUGCACAGAGUUGUUGACGGCGUGUCUGCUUCGGCGGCGCGACUCUCUACUCGCCACGUGCCUUUGUCAUGUAUUGGUCGUAGUUCCGGUUGCGCGCCUUCUGGGCGCACUACCCCAACUUUCG